rnacentral:rRNA from 1 species
GACGAACGCUGGCGGCGUGCUUAACACAUGCAAGUCGAACGAUGACGACCGAGCUUGCUCGGUCUGAUUAGUGGCGAACGGGUGAGUAACACGUGAGCAACCUGCCCUUCACUCUGGGAUAACCUCGGGAAAUCGGGGCUAAUACCGGAUAUGAGCUCCUGUCGCAUGGUGGGUGUUGGAAAGUUUUUCGGUGAAGGAUGGGCUCGCGGCCUUUCCGUUUGUUGGUGAGGUUGUGGCUCACCAAGGCGAUGACGGGUAGGCGGCCUAGGAGGGCGACCGGCCACACUGGGACAGAGACACUGCCGCGACUCCUACGGGAGGCAGCAGUGGGGGAUAUUGCACAAUGGGCGAAAGCCUGAUGCAGCGACGCCGCGUGAGGGAUGACGGCCUUCGGGUUGUAAACCUCUUUCAGCAGGGAAGAAGCGAAAGUGACGGUACCUGCAGAAGAAGCGCCGGCUAACUACGUG